GCCUUCUCUCUUGCUGGCAGAUUCAUCUGUCCUUUUUCUGUGGCACUCCUUUGCUGAUAUUAGAACCUUUCCAUGAAUCCUUCAGGCCGUUAGCACCAGACUGGGACAGUUGCUGCAUGGACUGAACUAUACCUCUCCUGUGAGACAGUCAUUGUCAGUGUAUCCAGAGCAUAUCAUACUCCUGCUGAUGGUGAAGGGCUGAGUUUGGUUAUGAGAACUCGUCAGGACAGCCACUACUGGCAGUGGCCAUGCCAAUAUUGUGGGCUGGGGUUCCCAUGUACAAGACAGGUGCUGUUCAGAUACAGCCACAAUCACAAUCAAGUUUGUUGUGGCCAGAAAUAUGUAAAAGAGUCUCAAACUAAGAACUCUGUCACUUCACAGAAACAAGGUAGGUUUUUUUUUUUUUUUCAUAUAACCUUGCGUUGUUUUGAGUGUUUACCUGUAUUUCAAAAUGAAUUCUAGUUGUAGAAGUUGAGAUGGAGCCAAUACUAAAGUAGCUUUUGGAGAACUAAAGAUGCAGAUAUGCCUGGGCAAAUCAGGGUCUAUGUCUUCCUGGCUUCUCUUGCACUCCCAGUGGAUGCUGACUAAGUUGGAUACACCCAGAUGCAUUUCUACAGAUUCCUGCAGUCUCCAAGGCUGUCCAAUCUGAAUCUUUCAAAUAACAAUGGCUCGAUAUGAGUAGGAGAUAGGACUGCCAUCCUUCCUGACUCCUCAUAUUUCCAGAGCUCCUAUCUCUUCUGGAAAUCACAAGAGUGAUACUAUCUGCUUAUGCUCAGCAGCCAUUAUGUAUGUCUUGAAUGGAGGGUGAUUUCCCAAAUCAGGCCUUUCAUAUCCCAAAUUCACUGUGGCCACAUCAAAAUAACCAGAAUUUCCAGAAACAUCCAGAAAGAGUCUUUUUAAAGGACCCAAGUUGUUGUCAUGAAGCAGUGAAGACAUACCAGUUCCAUUUGCUCUUGCUUUUUAGUGAACCAUCAGAAACUUAAUUGUGCUCAUGAAUUCAUGGAUCAGGAAUAAGACAGGACCCAGGGCAGGCUCUUUGCUUUUUAUUGUUAUAGAUCUCUGCUAGGAACACAGGAACGACAUGACUGGAAAAUCCCUUCCCAGAUGGCUUCCUCCUGUACUGUCUGCUAAUUGGUCCAGGAUGGCUAAAGUGAGGCUUACCUGGGACCUGAGCCACUCAUGUAGUGUUAUGAUUUGAAUCUGAAAUGUGUCCCCCAUAUCUUAUCUGUUACUAUUUUGGGGCACUAUGGGACCUUUAGGAAGAGCAGAGUAGCUGGGAGAAGUAGGUCACGAGGAACAGGCUUUUGAAGGUUAAAAUCCUGGUUCCCUUUUCCUGGUCUGCCACAGUGUGAUCAACCACUACCACAUGCUUUCACCAUUGUCUAUGCAUUCCUGACAAUGAUUGAUUGAGACACCCUGAAAUUCUGAGCCACUGUUGAGUCCAUGGGCUUCAUCUUGCCACUGGUCAUUAUUGAAGUUCAUGAGGCUCACAGCUAGAUGAGAUGGUUGAUGAUCUUUUCUUCCCAGAAGCCUGCCCAGUACUUUCUGGCACUAUGAAAGCUAGCCAGCAUGGAGGAAGCAUCUUGGUAUGAACCUACUUGAUCUCUCCAUGUCCUGUGCCCAAAGUGGUGGUGUGUCUUCAGCAAUGGGGUCUUAUUACAAAGUUCUUGUGGGCAACCAAGAACAAUAGAAACAAUGUGUAUUCUUCUGGGAGGUCUCCAGUGGAGGUAUCCCACAUCUGGCAUUGGACCUUUUAUUUAACAAUGUAUGUUUUCUAGGAAGAGAAUUAACCCUGUAUAGGUUAGCUCCAAUUAAACUUUUUAUGUGAACAUAUAGAUAUUGAAGUAGCUUAUAAAAUACUAAGUUUGCAUAUGACCUUUUCAACUGUCAUUAGUAUUAAUUAUCCCUUCCCACAACCUUUGGUGCCCUAUUCUCUCAUUCUUCCUCCAGCUUAAACCUCCUUCCUCAUUCUUCUCCCUUCCUCCUUCAUAUCACCUGUGUUCUGAUACACCCUCUCAGUUGGGAUAUUUUUCAAAUACUGGUUCUAUUUCAUUGGAUGCAUUCUUUUUUUUUUCCUGAGACAGGUUCUCUCUGUGGCUUUGGAGGCUAUCCUGGAACUAGCUCUGGUAGACUAGGCUGACCUCAAACUCACAGAGAUCCGCCUGCCUCUGCCUCCUGAGUGCUGGGAUUAAAGGCGUGCACCACCAAUGCCGGGCGAUGUUGUACAUUCUUAAAGAUUA